GUAUAACACAACAACAAGGAUGAUUAGAGGAAGCAAUGAUUUAGGUGAAAGGCAACAUGUGCCAAAAGAACUGAGGCAUGGCAUCUCAUCAUUAGAAAGUCAGACUGGUGUCCAAAAGAAAAUGAAAACCCACGUUGCAGCAAAAGAGCUCCAUGAAACUAUUCAUG